GACGAACGCUGGCGGCGUGCUUAACACAUGCAAGUCGAACGGAAAGGCCCUGCUUUUGUGGGGUGCUCGAGUGGCGAACGGGUGAGUAACACGUGAGUAACCUGCCCUUGACUUUGGGAUAACUUCAGGAAACUGGGGCUAAUACCGGAUAGGAGCUCCUGCUGCAUGGUGGGGGUUGGAAAGUUUCGGCGGUUUGGGAUGGACUCGCGGCUUACGAGCUGGUUGGUGGGGUAGUGGCUUACCAAGGCUUUGACGGGUAGCCGGCCUGAGAGGGUGACCGGCCACAUUGGGACUGAGGUACGGCCCAGACGCCUACGGGAGGCAGCAGUGGAGAAUAUUGCACAAUGGGCGGAAGCCUGAUGCAGCAACGCCGCGUGCGGGAUGACGGCCUUCGGGUUGUAAACCGCUUUCGCCUGUGACGAAGCGUGAGUGACGGUAAUGGGUAAAGAAGCACCGGCUAACUACGUG
rnacentral:rRNA from 1 species